UUUGAUGGCGACCGGCGCACGGGUGAGUAACACGUAUCCAACCUGCCGAUGACUCGGGGAUAGCCUUUCGAAAGAAAGAUUAAUACCCGAUGGCAUAGUUCUUACGCAUGGUGGAACUAUUAAAGAAUUUCGGUCAUCGAUGGGGAUGCGUUCCAUUAGGUUGUUGGCGGGGUAACGGCCCACCAAGCCUUCGAUGGAUAGGGGUUCUGAGAGGAAGGUCCCCCACAUUGGAACUGAGACACGGUCCAAACUCCUACGGGAGGCAGCAUG
rnacentral:rRNA from 1 species